CGGGGUCGGAGUGCAGCUCUGGCCGGUGCUCCCAGCCCUGUGCUUGCUGAGUGCUCCAAAUCUGAUAAUCAUGCCGUGCCUCAGUUUCCCCUCUGUGCAGGGGACAGUGGUGCCCUUGUCCCCAGCUGUCCAGAGAAAAGCACUGAGCUUUGGUCAAUUCUGGGGCUGAGUGAGCUGAGAACAGCAAAAUUGGGAAAUUAUUUUUGCAAAACUGGUGCCAUCAGUGCCACGCAGGGAGGAGUGUGGAGGGUCCCAAUUUUGGGGCUGAGCCCCCCUGUCAGGGAUGCUUGGUCCGUGCUAGCCUGAGUCUUCCUGCAGUGCCAGCCAGCACUGUCAGCCUUCCCCCUCACUCACAAUUCAAAAUAAAUACAGAGAGUGAACAUGACCUUGAGUGUAUAGUCUAAAGCUUUUAAAACUCUCCUCUAAUUCUUUUAACUUCCCGCACAUCUAUCCUCUGCACCAGCCUCCUCAUUUCUCUUUCUCUACAGUAAACUUAUACCCUUUCUAAAGUGCCCAGAGAAGACGCUGCAGAUGAAAUGUUGCUUUAGCUUAAUUUCCUAUUCCUAACAUCUGCUUUAAUUAAUGUCAUUUGCUUUGAUUUGCUGCCAGCCUGCCAGUGCGGCACUUCCUUCGUUUCGCAACCUUAACCAUAACCUUGUGGGAAUGAGGAUCAGGUGUUCCUGGCUGAUUUCAUCUGCUUCAGGGCAUUUAUCUCCAGCUCUGGGGCUUUUCUGCACUUUGUUGGUGGCACCAGCACAGAGGCAAAGCCACAGGGCUCUCCUUGGCUGGAGAACGUGCUGUGGCUGAAGGAUGCUGCUGUGGAAGGCACUGACCAGCAUUCCUUACCCAGAUUUUUUACACUUCUGAGGUUCAACCCAGAGCAGGAACAUGGCAAAGCAGGAGAGAGGGGAUGGACCCCUCCCAGCUCCUGAUUUCUGUGUCAGGAUCAGAGACAUCAGGACAGAGCCAGCCUGCUGCUGGCUCUGUCCCCACAGUCCCUGAGGCUCCAUGGCCACUGCUGGACCUCACAGACCAAGGUUUCCUCAGGCUGAUGUUCCCAACCCAGGCAAGCAUUCUCCAGCCAUCCACCAGCAUGGAAAUGGAUGAACAUCACGUGGAAGAGGUGGGGAAUGAUCUUGAGGGUGUCCCAAAGCAGCCAGACCUGCAGCAGCCUCAUCACCUGGGGCAAGGUGCAGACUGAUCCUGAGGAUCAUGAAAUCCCUUUUCCAUCCCUCUCUCUGUUCCCACUGCAUGGUGAGACGCUUGUGCCCUUCCUCCAGCAGGAGCUGCCUCGUCCUCUGUGCACCACCAGCCUAGAAGUGUUUGGUACCAGUCUCUUGGCAAAAGAGCCUGAGGAAUGGAAGGGUAAAGAAAUAUGACCCAGCUGCUAUGCACAAUGAGGUUUGUAAGUCCUUGUAUGGUAUAAAUAAGCAUAUUACACAGUUAUUAGAAAUUUGGCACUGUCGCUGUUUAGAAGCAAGACUCUGAUGCUGUGUAAUUCCUCCCGAGUCCACGCAUAACUCAGUAUCAGCCUUCCAUUCUUCCAGCCUUGUUACUGGCCAAAUUCGGCAACUUUUUCUCAGUGCUCAUCCAUUCAAACCCUUCUCAGCUGUGUAAACCGGUGAGUUUCCCCUCAAGUCAGCAAAUCGAUGCCAACCCACGCGGCCGAGG